rnacentral:rRNA from 1 species
CAGUCGCCGCGGUAACACGAACCGUGCGAACGUUAUUCGGAAUUACUGGGCUUAAAGCGCGUGUAGGCGGAUCGGAACGUCCGGAGCUGAAAUCCCCCGGCUUAACCGGGGAGGGUCAUUGGAGACUGGGAAACUUGAGUGCAGAAGAGGAGAGUGGAAUUCCACAUGUAGCGGUGAAAUGCGUAGAGAUGUGGAGGAACACCAGUGGCAAAGGCGACUCUCUGGUCUGUAACUGACGCUGAGGAGCGAAAGCGUGGGGAGCGAACAGGAUUAGAUACCCCAGUAGUCCCUGUCUCUUAUU